rnacentral:rRNA from 1 species
GAUAUGGCUCAGGAUGAACGCUAGCGACAGGCUUAACACAUGCAAGUCGAGGGGCAUCAUGAGGUAGCAAUACCUUGAUGGCGACCGGCGCACGGGUGAGUAACGCGUAUGCAACCUGCCUGAUACCGGGGUAUAGCCCAUGGAAACGUGGAUUAACACCCCAUAGUACUUUUAUCCUGCAUGGGAUGUGAGUUAAAUGUUCAAGGUAUCGGAUGGGCAUGCGUCCUAUUAG